AUCACAGAGUCCCAGACACGUAGGACUCAUAGUCCACGAGCAUUAGGACUCUUCAUCAGCCAUCAGAUCAGAUAGGAACCUCUAAUGUGUGUGACCCCGCAGGUUCGAACUUAAGCCGGUAGCACAGGAAUCAAUUUCUGUACUAAUCGAAGUGACUAUCUAGCAAUGAUACCCGACGACCGGAUAGAUCGAAUAGUCACAAUUAUAACACUCAGAACCUAAGUGAAUAUGGUUACUGUAUAAUUCAUUUUUUUGACCUCUGUGUUUAGGAUGACUCAGAGUUAAACUGUCAACCCUGAUUAGAUCAUCCGAAUCAUGCUCAACUCAAACAGUCCUGUGACUCCUCACAAGGACUACCCUGGCCAAAGUUUUGCUAAAUUGAAACACGACUGUACACAGCUCCUAAACUGGAGUGGUCAAUCCCAUCUUGACACACGCACCGACAAGUCAAGUACUUGACUACACCCAACAGCCUUCUGUCACUGAAUUAGAAAUUCAAGUAGUCCAGUGCUUAAGUGCAGUGAGUUGCUUGCAAGUCACCAUGGCGGUCUCAGGUCAGAGGGAUAUUUAUACCCAUAUUCCAUCGGAGCAAAUCUUGACAGCAGAAAUAGCUUCGGAGUCGGUCACGUUCAGUGCAGAUGUACCCUUACAUCUCACCUGUAUGCCAUACCAGUGUCUCCACACUCAUUGGUUAAGAGGACAACCAACCUAUAUG
rnacentral:lncRNA from 1 species